rnacentral:misc_RNA from 1 species
AGUCCACUUAAGCCCUGCUUAGUGUUGGGAAUCUACUCCAGAGGAGCUACCCUGUAGCUACCCUGUAGUUCCUCAAAGACAGCGGCGGAGUUGUGUUUUCCUCUGAGCUUAGUAAUUACUUCCUAGCUUUCGAGUCGACGCAGCCCCUGCCGUUAAACACCCUUCUUCUGAAU